rnacentral:lncRNA from 1 species
GGAUGAGAGGAGGCAGGAAACCAUCAAAGGGCAUACAGCUUGUUUGGGACAAGGAGAAAAGCAGUGGGAUGGGGGUGUCAGCCCUUCUCACAUGUUCUAAUCACCAACCUGUCCUUCGCUAUUGGCUCCUUCCCUCUAUCUGUAAAUGUCAUCAAAUCUCUUUCUCCCAAUACAAAUAAGUAAAUAAAUAAACAGCCAAACACCAACAUAGCCCCCAAACCGACUCCCCACUACCUUCAGUGUUCCCCUAGUAACUAUCCUGACUCUCGUCUUCUCAUCCACACUAUUUAUAAAAAGCAGCCAUUGUCGUUGGGCUGUCUUUAUAAGCACUCUGUCCUCAGGCCACUCUCAAUGGGCCUCUUCCUGCUCCAAAUCCAAUGGACUUUCUUCUGUCUUCUAGGGGACCCUUCUCCUUUGUCCCUUCAUAGCCCCUGGUUUCUUUGACACCGCCCUGCCCUGCUUCUGCCCACGGCUCUCGGAACCCUCCUUCUGUCCUCCGCGAGCCUGUCUCCUCGCUGGCAUGCCCACGUUCUGCAGGAUUCUGUACCUGCUCAUAGCUCCUCCCACUUUAUGCUCUGUCCUGGGCCACGCUUUUCACGCUCAUGAUCAACUACAAAUGAAGUGCGAUGUCUCCCUGAUUCUGAAUGUCACUUCUGAGCUUCAAAUCUAAAUAGUCAACAGCUUGUUGGACAUCUCCACCCGGAAGUACUACAGGAACUUCAAACUCAACACAUCAACAGUGGAAUUCAUGACUGGGCCAGGCACUGCGUUUUCUUCAUCUUUGUGUAUCCAGCACCUAGCAGACAGCAGGCACUCAGGAAUUGUUGGCUGAGUAAGCAUCUUACUUGGAAGGCAGAGGGGCGGAAAUGUUUGAGAAUUAUAGGAGUGUGUAAAAGUCCCAAAGUGAUGCAAGGAAUGUAGGUUGGAGUGUUCAUCAAAACUGCGUUUCCUAGAAGUCAUUAUAUGAAAAGGACACUAGCACACGUAAAUUUACAGCAGCACAAUUCACAAUUGCAGAGAUGUGGAACCAACCUAAGUGCCCAUCAACCAAUGAGUGGGUAAGGAAAACGUGGUAUAUAUACACCAUGGAAUACUACUCAGCCAUUAGAAGGGAGGAAAUAAUGUCUUUUGCAACAACUUGGAUGGAGCUGGAGGCCAUUAUUCUAAGUGAAGUAACACAGGAGUGGAAAACCAAAACCACAUGAUCUCACUUAUAAGUUGGAGCUAAGCUAUGAGUAUGCAAAGGCAUACCGUGUGAUGUCAUGGACUUUAAAGAUGCAGAAAGGGGAAGUGGGUGUACAGUGUGAUAUCAUGGACUUUAAAGAUGCAGACAGGGGAAGUGGGUGGGGG